CUUAGAAAUUUUUGUGAUGUUUGAUUCAAAAGAGAACUGUAAGACAUUGGAUUACCCUGUACAAAAAUCUUCACAUGGACUCAGGUUGGAAUCAAGGUAUAAUGGACUUCAGGCCUAAUUGACACGGAACCUGACUUUGCUAAAACUGCACAUUGACAACAGCUCGUAGAACACAAAAUGCUCCCCGCCCCCAUUUGAUGCGUUCAGUAACUGUACAAGAAACAGAAAUCAUUUGGUCACUGUGCACUGGACGUUUGAUGUACUACCUUUAAAUCAAUAAUUAUAGGCCAUUUACCAGUCAUAAGUGACUUCUGUAUGAAAUGUGAUCUUAGACCAAAGCAUUCUCUAGUUAUUGGGCAAAAAAAGUUCUAGUGUUCUGGGUCAAUGUGACCUAGACCUUUGACCACUGACUGACCUCAAAAUCAGUAGGGGUCCUCUGCCGGUCAUGAUUAACCUCCCUAUGUAGUUUCAUGAUCCUAGGUCAAAGAGUUCUCAAACUAACAUCCGGAAACAGCUUAACUGUUCCAGCUCACUCUGACCUUGACCUUUGACCUACUGAACUAAAAAUCUAUAGGAGUUAUCUGCUAGCUAUGUUCAACCCUCCCAUUCACUUUCAUGAUCCUAGGCUCAAGAGUAUUAGAGUUAUCAUCUGGAAACUGUUUAACUGUUACAGGUCGCUGUGAUUUUGACCUUUGACCUACUGGCCUCUAGGUCAAUAUGGGUCACUGCUGGUCAUGACCAACCUACAUAUAAAGUUUCAUGAUCUUAGGCCCAAGCAUUCUUGUGUUAUCAUCCGGAAACCAAUUGGUCAACAUACCAAAUGACCGACAGACUGACAAACAUCUGCAAAACAGUAUACCCAGGCUCCUUCUUCAAAGGGUUUCAUUAAAAUCAGAAUAAGUCUAUGCUGACUCUAGCUGGACAAAAAUAAUAUUCAGAAUGGUAAACAGAAAAUUUGAAUUUUCGUUCUUUUGUAAGACAGAAUAUUUAUUGCUUAUUAUAGCUUUGCAUUAUAUUCAAUGAAAGACAGAAAAGGUGGAAAAUAGGUGGCAACUAGUGGAAAUUGGCUGUACUAGCUGAAUCUGAAAAGAUCAUUUUUAAAUGUGUCUGCAGUGUAUUAUUUCUGCAUGAGAGAAAGUUGGUUAAAGAUAAGAUUAAUGAUAGAUCAAGUUACAAGCUCCCACACAAAUGUAUAGAAACAACCCCAGGUGGAAUUUGGGUCAGUUAAGAUUUAUAUACAACAUGUAUGCAGGCAAACAUCAGGUCAAAUGCAAAGAAAUAGUUCUUGCCUAUUCUCUUCAUUAAUUGAAAAAAAAAAAAAGAAGUGUUUAUAAAAAGGAUGUUUUUACAAUAGCUUUACAACUUAAGGAUUUGACACCUUCUUUAGCUGACCAAGAAAGUGUAUGUGUGGAAUCAAUUUAUCUGUGUAAUAAUACCAAAUUUUGAAAUCUGGCAUUUGAUGAGUCAGCCUGGGAGAAACUGGAAACACAUUGUGAGAGGUAACAAUAUUAUACUGUUUAUGUUUUUUUUAAUUAUUACUGUCUUUAACAUUGUCUUAAUUACUCUUAACAAAUACUUGAAUUUGAAACAACAUUUACCAAACUGCUUUGAAUUUAAGUCAAAAAAUCUCCUUCUAUGUCUUAGGAAGUUUGGCAGAUGGAUAAAUCCCAGAUAUAUUUUCUGGAAUAUAGCUCAAUCAUGUUUAUAACACUGUUUGUAAAAUUGUAUCAUUUUGUAAUUUUUUACAUUAUUGAUUAGCACUUAGGAUACAAUAUGUACUUUAAACUGUUCAUACCAGGUACCUUCUGUGAAAAAAGUGCAACUUUGUGACAUGAUAUGCCUGCCUGACUGUAUAUACCUGAGCAGCACACAGCUUAUUACUGCAUAAAAGAAACAUAUCAAGAUAAUUUUGAAUCAGACUGUGUGCUAGAAAAAUGGCCCUACAUCUAAAGGAGUGAAAUUUGGAGAGUCAUUCGCCAUCUACUUAAGCCAUCCUGGAAUAUGAAAAAAUAAGACUGCAUUGACAACAUCCUGAUCCUCGUGUUCAGAUCUUUUGUGAUUUCUUGUGAAGAGUCUUUGAUUUUUCAUAAAAAUAAAAAAUAUAUUAAUAUAAUUUGA